ACGCUCGCAACUGUGGAAUCAUAGGCGUGAAAUGCUUCAGUGUGUCCAUCAAAGCCCGUGUCAUCGAGCAGAAACUAGCCUUGCUCAACCAAAUUGCACCUGUCAGCGAUGCACGGCGAGGGCACUCGGAAUCUGGCGUUUGCUCCAUUGCGAAGCAUGCAAUGUUGAGAGAAAAGGGGAGACUGCACCGGAGGAAAGCGAAGCAUGGUAGCAGGUCUGAAGAUGAGAGCAUGAUGUUCUCUUUUAGCAAAGGAUCCAUGUGUCUAUUUUUCAUCCCGUUGUAAUGCACGGGGACCUUUGAUUUGAUUUAGUUUUAUCUUCUACUGUACAUAGGGAAAUAUGGACACUAAAUAUCCAUUUCUUAGGUGUCAACCUGGUACAUUAGGCUGUAUAGUACAUGGCAGAGUUUUUCCAGCUACUAAUUCAGGUAAUCUGAUUCAUGUCACUUUGCUUUAAGCAUAGUUAACUAACAGCAAGGACAUUGCCAUAUAUGAAUGAAUGAACAAAAAAAGGAGGUACAGUAAUGAUUUCACAUAUACACUUCCCCUACAACCUAUGUCGAGGGUACCUACUGUAAUGAUUUUGCAUAUGAACUUGCUAAAACUAGUACUGCUACCUUGAGUUUGUCAAAGAAUAAUGCCACUAAAUUGCCAGCCAUUUUGGAUCUGUCAUCUUUUUCCCCACUAGGGUGCUCCCUUAAAAUUUACUACUUUAGAGACAUGAGGAUCCUCAAGUUAACACACUUGAUUCUUACUGCUGCUUAUGCAUCCCUGAACUUCAGUUAUUAUGAUUAUCUGGAUAUUUCCUAUACUUUAUCAAGUUUAGGGUUCUUAAAAUAAGGACAAACAUUUGUUUCACCUUUUGUACUUCAUCAUAAUAGCAUAUGAUUUUUAAAAAUGGCAAAUUGCCAAGUACAGUUCUGAGGUGGAGAGUUACUUAUGUAUUUUUUAUUCAUGAAUGACAUGAUCAAGGAGUCAGGUGUGAAAAUGCUUUAUAAAUCAGAUGAGACAACAUGCUAAAAUUUUGUGGUGAUUAGUGAAGGAAAGAACUAUGUACUCUUGUUUCAAGUAGACUUCAUCGCCUUAUUGUUAGAGUUAGCUUCACCUCCCACUGUUAUAUUUUUGACGUGAAUAUCAAUGCCCCCCCCACCCACACUUAUGUUGUUGAAAAUAGCAACCGCUUGAUCUUUGAUAGCAUGCAGUUGCCUAUCUACAAAUCAUAAAUGAACAAAUAAAAUGUACUUAUAUAUCCAAAUGUUGUGUAUCCUGCUUGUAGAAUUUGUUCCUAUUUAUCCUUUUUUAAUUUUUACAUAUGGGCAUCUAGUGUUUGCGGCAUCUCAAAGUUUACCUUUUUAUAUUGAUAUAUUGUACAUGGCGGAAUUUUGGGUUGUGCCUCAAAGUUUUCCCUUUUACAAGUAUAUACUGUGUAUUUUGCUGAUGCUUUGUUGCUGAGAUAUAUUCUAAGUGAUAAUCAUACAUUUCAUGUUUUCUCCUCUAUCUUAGGAGAGGAAUGAAAAUAUGGUUAGAUCCUAAAUAUGAUAUUAUGCAGCAUGACCAAAAUAUCACAUCUUAUUAAUCCCUUUCUCUUGGCAGUGUGCUACAUCUGGUCGCUCAAGGCCAAGGAUGUGAUGAAAGGCUUCUUGAUAAGUUUUUAGCUGUCUCAUUCAAAUCCAUAUAGAUUGCGAGAUGAUGGCAUAGUAUUAUCUGACAUUUUAU
rnacentral:lncRNA from 1 species